CGAGAAACCUUUGCAAUGUGCGAAAGCACGACAAGGUUAAUCCGAGUGUCUCCUGCUAAAGGAGUCUUUUGUCAGUUGUAGAAUCACUGGUGAAUAAGGGGUGGGCAAGUUCUGGUGUCAGCCGCCGCGGUAAAACCAGCACCUCGAGUGGUCAGGAGGUUUAUUGGGCCUAAAGCAUCCGUAGCCGGUUGCAUAAGUUUUCGGUUAAAUCUAUGCGCUUAACGUAUAGGCCGCCGAAAAUACUGUGCAGCUAGGGAGUGGGAGAGGUACACGGUACUCGAUAGGAAGGGGUAAAAUCCUUUGAUCUAUUGAAGACCACCUGUGGCGAAGGCGGGGUACCAGAACACGUUCGACGGUGAGGGAUGAAAGCUGGGGGAGCAAACCGGAUUAGAUACCCGGGUAGUCCCAGCUGUAAACGAUGCAGACUCGGUGAUGCAUUGGCUUGUGGCCAAUGCAGUGCCGCAGGGAAGCCGUUAAGUCUGCCGCCUGGGAAGUACGUACGCAAGUAUGAAACUUAAAGGAAUUGGCGGGGGAGCACCACAAGGGGUGAAGCCUGCGGUUCAAUUGGAGUCACGCC
rnacentral:rRNA from 1 species